UACAGAGGUCUCAAGCGUUGUUCGGAUUCAUUGGGCGUAAAGGGUGCGUAGGUGGCGGGGCAAGUUUGGUGUGAAAUCCCGGGGCUCAACCCCGGAACUGCACUGAAUACUGCCUUGCUUGAGCACUGGAGAGGGAACUGGAAUUUACGGUGUAGCAGUGAAAUGCGUAGAUAUCGUAAGGAAGACCAGUGGCGAAGGCGAGUUCCUGGACAGUUGCUGACACUGAGGCACGAAGGCUAGGGGAGCAAACGG
rnacentral:rRNA from 1 species